rnacentral:lncRNA from 1 species
UAUGCGUGUUUGCUUUUUUUUACCGGGUGAUUAGCCGAAGCACAAUAUAUUGUUAAAAAAUAAAAAAGUAUGUUUUUUUUGCCAAAAGAAAUGAUUUAUCUUUUUCAUGACGUCAACCAUUGCAUCACACAAUGGCCACUUCAAAAACCGUACAGAUGGAUGAAAAAAAGUUAAAACUGCUUUUGAGAUCCAUGAGAAGCAUGAUCCAGUGGUUGAUGUCGUUAAAAAAAAAUUGAUCAUUCUUCCGUGUGUACAACCCAAACACAUCUCAGCUUCUAGGCAUGGUUGAGAGACUUUACAAUACAAGCUAAUG